UGCGUAGGCGGUCUUUCAAGCCAGAAGUGAAAGGCUACGGCUCAACCGUAGUAAGCUUUUGGAACUGUAAGACUUGAGUGCAGGAGAGGAGAGUGGAAUUCCUAGUGUAGCGGUGAAAUGCGUAGAUAUUAGGAGGAACACCAGUAGCGAAGGCGGCUCUCUGGACUGUAACUGACGCUGAGGCACGAAAGCGUGGGGAGCAAACAGGAUUAGAUACCCUGGUAGUCCACGCCGUAAACGAUGAGUACUAGGUGUCGGGGGUUACCCCCCUCGGUGCCGCAGCUAACGCAUUAAGUACUCCGCCUGGGAAGUACGCUCGCAAGAGUGAA
rnacentral:rRNA from 1 species